AGUGAACGCUGGCGGUAGGCCUAACACAUGCAAGUCGAACGGCAGCACAGUAAGAGCUUGCUCUUACGGGUGGCGAGUGGUGGACGGGUGAGGAAUACAUCGGAAUCUACUUUUUCGUGGGGGAUAACGUAGGGAAACUUACGCUAAUACCGCAUACGACCUACGGGUGAAAGCAGGGGAUCUUCGGACCUUGCGCGAGUGAAUGAGCCGAUGUUGGAUUAGCUAGAUGGCGGGGUAGAGGCCAACCAAGGCGACUAUCCGUAGCUGGUCUGACAGGAUGAUCAGCCACACUGGAACUGAGACACGUCCCCGACUCCUGCGGUAGGCCGCGGUGGAGAAUAUUGGGCAAUGGGCGCAAGCCUGAUCCAGGCAUACCGCGUGGGUGAAGAAGGACUUCUGGUGGUAAAGCCAUUAUGUUGGGAGAGAUAAGAAGCAGUUUUAUCCCCCGUGGUAAUGACGGUACCCAAAGAAUAAGCACCGGCUAACUUCGUG
rnacentral:rRNA from 1 species